AACGAACGCUGGCGGCAGGCCUAACACAUGCAAGUCGAGCGAAGCCUUCGGGCUUAGCGGCGGACGGGUGAGUAACGCGUGGGAACGUGCCCUUUGGUACGGAAUAGCCCCGGGAAACUGGGAGUAAUACCGUAUGUGGUCGAGAGACGAAAGAUUUAUCGCCAAAGGAUCGGCCCGCGUUGGAUUAGGUAGUUGGUGGGGUAAUGGCCUACCAAGCCGACGAUCCAUAGCUGGUUUGAGAGGAUGAUCAGCCACACUGGGACUGAGACACGGCCCAGACUCCUACGGGAGGCUGCAGUGGGGAAUCUUAGACAAUGGGGGAAACCCUGAUCUAGCCAUGCCGCGUGAUCGAUGACGGCCUUAGGGUUGUAAAGAUCUUUCAGUGGGGAAGAUAAUGACUGUACCCACAGAAGAAGCCCCGGCUAACUCCGUGCCAGCCGCCGCCGUAAAAC
rnacentral:rRNA from 1 species